rnacentral:rRNA from 1 species
UGAGGAAUAUUGGUCAAUGGGCGCAAGCCUGAACCAGCCAUGCCGCGUGAAGGAUGAAGGCCUUCUGGGUUGUAAACUUCUUUUACGGGGGAAGAAAAGCAUUGUUUCUACGAUGUCCGACGGUACCCUGGGAAUAAGCACCGGCUAACUCCGUGCCAGCAGCCGCGGUAAUACGGAGGGUGCAAGCGUUAUCCGGAUUUACUGGGUUUAAAGGGUGUGUAGGCGGGCAAUUAAGUCAGUGGUGAAAUCUCCAGGCUCAACCUGGAAACUGCCAUUGAUACUAUUUGUCUUGAAUUUUGUUGAGGAGGGCGGAAUAUGUCAUGUAGCGGUGAAAUGCAUAGAUAUGACAUAGAACACCGAUAGCGAAGGCAGCUCUCUAAGCAAAUAUUGACGCUGAGGCACGAAAGCGUGGGGAUCAAACAGG